GGUCUAGUACAGGAGUGGGCAAACUAUGUCCUGUGGGGCAAAUUUGGUUUGCUGCUUGUUUUUUUAAUAAAGUUUUAUUGGAACACAGCCACAUUCAUUUGUUUUUUUACGUAUUGUCUAUCGAUGUUUCUGGGCUGUAACAGCAGUGUUGAGUAGCUGUAAUAGUGACCGUAUGUUCCACAAAGCCUAGAAUCUUUGCGAUCUGGCCCUUUACAGGAGAAGUUUGCUCACCUCUCUCCUAGAUCAUGAAGAAAUUUUUAACUGUUCCUUUUAUAUUUGCCUGUGCUAUUUUGAAAUAUUUUUGCUGUGUGUGUGCAAUAAAACUAUUAAAACAUUUUAGAUGACUGUUUGGCUGUCUACUGAGAUUGUGCUCCUAUGCAUCCUCAGAAAUCAGCAAAUGUCUUAUGAAACAACCUGAAAAUACAGAUGUCCUAGAAUGGAGGUGAAGAGAACAUUUAGAAGGACAAUCUAGGAUGUAAUGAAGUUAUUCCAAGAGUUAGCACCUCUGUAUACUCAGGAUCUCUGUCCAGUGAAUCCCUUGCCAUUCUAAUCAGAGCAACAGCAACUACAGCAAGGCCAAACUGGCAGAAACCAAAGUCAAAAAGGACUGCCCUUCCUCCUUAGUCCUCUGUGUUUCUGGCUUUUCUUUGGCAGGAAUGCUUCACAUAUUUCCUCAGGAGCCACGUACCUCUGAGCACAGGAGGUUUCCUGAAACCAGAGGUAAAAGGUUCCUGCUUUCAUACAGCAGACUUAUUUCCUCACUCAGGGAAUCAGGUGUUGCUUCACCCAUGUGGAAGUACAUGGCCUUUCCCUUCCUGUUCCAGCGGUUCCCACUGUGUCAGCCUCAGACCCAGCCAACACAAGUGCCAGUGCUACAUGGAGUGAGUCACUUUGAGCCGCCUGAGGGAACUCAAAGGGCUUCUCACAGAAAAAAGCUUAGGAUAGGACUGUGGCCUCAGCUGUGACCCUUUUUCCUGGCAAGCUAUAGCACUGGAUGAAACAUGAAGAUGCCGCUUGCGGGAGGGUAGGCUAGCACAAAAGCCAAAGAUGAAAGGAAAGUGGCCCUUACUUCUUUCUGUCUGCCAUUCAGGGGUCUAUCUCCCUGAACUACUGAUAUCCUAGCCUCAUGUAUGUGUUGUGUUAAUUGAGUACCAGUGCUCAGAGCAUUGGUUUGGAAAUUAGUGAUUCUGCCACUUUUCAGUUGUAUUACUUCGGGCAUUCACUUCAUCUCUCUGAGCCUUAAAUUUCUCAUCUAUAUGUUGUGGAUAGUCAUGCCUGUCUUGACUGCUUGGCCAAAUAAAAACUCAAGUUUUAAAUUCUGAAACCUUAGGGUUCGAGAGCUGGGGAGGGAGUUUACAUGUUUUCUAAUGGAGCCAUUAUCUGUUGGAGGCAUUCAUUCCCCUCACCAGCAUCCUAGGCAAAUACCAUCCUCUUGAUUCAGUUGGAAUGCUGACAUGCCUGUGGAGCUGCCCUCGGGAGAUCUGAUUGUUAGAAACGUCUUCCUAUGCCCUCUAGUAACUUUUAUCUGUUUUGCCUCUGGACUCAACAAUAAAUGUCAUUCCUAAACUGUUCUGCAUAUUGACAAAUACUGUAAAAAUAUCAUCACUUUUUUUUUUAAAGUUGUUGUCAAGUUAUUGUCUCAGCUCCUUUACCUGCUCUGCCUUUUGGGAUUUUUCUUUGGAUUCAUGAAUGAAACAGGGCAUGGCAUUAGGUGUUUCUGAAUGUUCUCAAGGGUCCUUGUGGGAUUGGUUCUAAAAGCUUCCCUGAUUAUCUCUGGAGGCAUUGAAUAUUACCAAUAGUUUGAGUCCUAGAACCAUGAUUAGAAAAGCAUGUUAUUUUUUAUUAUGAACAAAAUGGAGAUGCAUUAAAUUUUAGUAAAAUAAGAGACCUUGAAAACAUGUAAAUAAUAAACGCUGUUUGUAACCCAGCUAUUGCAAAAAAAAAACUAUUUUAAUACCUUAUACCUUGAUCGUGUUUCCACAUGCAUGAUUAUGUGCACACAUGUGAUUGUUGGAAUUAUACAACAUAUGUGGAUCUGCAUUUUGCUCUCUUACUAUUAUCUUAUUUUCCCAUGCCACUACCAAUUAUAAGUAUUAUCAUGAUGAUUGCAUCACAAUAUCUUAAUGAAUACACCAUAAUUUACCCAAUGAACUCCCUAUUUUAAUCCCUAAUUUGUGGUAAGUUUUCAGUAACAUCAAGUCUAUUCUCUUUGAGAAAUGGAGAAUACAACACCUCUAAAUUCCCUCAGCAGGGUUUUAUUUUCCAAGUGUUGGGGUAGUAACUUUACCCAUUUCUUCUUUGCAUAAGUGAGCAUAGUUAUGAGGACAAGUGGAUCCGAUCCCGUUAGAGCUGGAAAGCUGGAAAAAAAUUUUAAAAAGCUGAUGUGUGUUUAUGUAAAUACUACCUUUCAAAUUUAAACUUAACAUGUUUUGCUGGUGAUCUUUAUGACCAACAAGAAGUUUUUGGGUUGUUUCACUUACUGGUGGAACAAUGGGCCCACCAAGGGCUUCAGCUGCCCCUUUCCUCUGAUGUCAGGAAUUUUCCUGGAAAUUGAGUUUCUGUAUCAGGAAGAACUUUUUUAAUGCACUUGAACUCAGGGCCAAGAAUCAAAGGUCCCAGGUGUGCCGUCCAGUCACAUAAUUUGGGCCCUAGUUUUUGUUAGUGCAUAACUCGGGCAGCACAAAGGACAGCAAAAACUCAGACAUGCUCAUACAACUAGAACAGCUGUCUGUGGUGCUUGUUACGAGUGGCAGUACCCCUACUCCUCAGCAGACGUACAGAACCAAUCGCCAAAAUAAAAGGAAUCAAUUCUUUUUUUUUUUUUUUUUACAAGCACUGUAAGUGAAAUAUAUCAGGAAAAUAUACUAAAUAGAUUGUGACUCACAUAAAUAAGUGAUGUCUAGACAGCUAACUUAGUGUGAAAGACAAUUGUCAAUUGCUUUAUCCUGUUCUCACACUGAUACUGGAGUCCUGUAGGGUCUUAGAUGUAGGGCUUUACUUCAUCUUUGACAAUUAUCAAAAAUCACAGAAUUGGAAAUACAAAUAGCUCCAUAAACCUAUAUAACAAGGCAGAUAGAAGGGACCUUUCAACACAGAAGUGAUCAUUUUUGAAAGAGGCCUCUCAUAUCUCCCCAAAAGCAUUACCACUAACAGAAGCAGCUGCAUUCUUUCAUCAUGGCCAAUACCAACUUUGUGGAAUGGAUGUAAACUUCGCCAUAUCUUUUGGGGAGUGGCUAGUUUGAGAUAAUGGCAUAUAGUUGACUUUUAAAACAAAUCAAAACAAAACCAACCAGAACGUUCUGGUUGCUUAGACUCAGUUGAGUUCUCAGAAAGCCAACACAAGGGAAGUCCAGACCCAUUCUCAUUCCAUCUGUGCUUCAUCUCUAGUCCAGAAAAAAAAAAAAAUGUUAACUUCAUUGGUCCUGAUGCACUGGGAUGUUUCCAGCAGACUGUUUGUCUCCUGGCUUUUCUGAUGUCAUAGGUUUCUGUUUUUGCAGAGGAGAACUUCCUAAGCAUGUUCCUCAUGUGCCUAUUAAGAUAGAUGAAAAGUAACCUACCAAGAUGACCCCCUGGUCUUGGUAGUGAGAGUGCCUGUAUCUGGUAGGCAGAUCCUCAUGGUGGUAGGUUAUAAUAAAAAGGAGUGAAGGUACUUCAUCAUUCCUUUCCCCACGGUGUAACUUUAAUGAACAGGAAUUGCCAGACCAUUAAACUACUAACUUUGGUCCAAACACAGACAAAAGGGAUGGUUAGAAUUAUCUUGUUAAAAAUCAGAAAAGGAGAAAGUAUGUGGAUCACAGGUAGGGGAGACUUAUGAUUAGUCAUCUUUACACGUCAUGUUUUACAAAAUUUAGAAUUACAGGCAUCCUGAGUCUCAGUUGUAGACCAUUUGUAAACAAGCUUCUCAGCAAGAGAAACUCAUCUAAGGAAACUCCCAUAAUGCUAUUAGCGGAUUUCUCAGCAGAAACCUUGCAGGCUAGAAAAGUGGGAGAAUAAAUUGCUAAAAGAAAAAGCAGGAAGAAAAACUAUCAACCAAAAACUCUAUAUCUGGAAGAGUUGUCUUUCAGAAAUAAGAACAUUUCCAGACAAAAGCUGAGGAAGUUGAUCACCACUAGACCUAACUUACAAGAAAUACUAAAGGCAAGUGAAAGCUGAAAGUAAAGGGAAUAAAGGGAAAUUAAGCUAAAAUGAAAGAAUGUUAUUUAACAAGAAAAUAUAUAAAAUUCCAAAACUCACUGGUAAGUGUAGUGUCAAUUUCAGAAUAUUAUAUAAUGGUUGUGUGUAAAUCACCUAACUCACAUAAAGAUUAAAAGACAAAUAUUGAAAGUAAUUGUAGGUACAAUAAUUUGUUAAUGGAUACACACAAUAUAUAAAAUAUGAAUUUUGACAUAAAUAUAAAAUGUGGGUGGAAGGUAAAAGAUAUAAUUUUUGUAUGUGUUGGAAUUUAAGUUUUUAACAGCUUUACAUAAGCUGUUAUAGCUAAAAGAUGUUUUAUGUACGUCUCAUAAACACACACAAACUCUAAUGGAUACACUAAAGAUAAAGGAAUCCAAAUAUACUGAUAUAGUUUGGAUAUCUGUCCCCUCCACAUGUCAAGUUGAAAUCUGAUCCCCCGUGUUAGAGGCUGGGCCUAAGAGGAGAUGUGCAAGUCAUGGGGGCAGAUGCCUUUAGAACGGCAUGGGGCGGUCCUAAAGGCAAUGAAUAAAUUCUUACUCCAUUAGUUCCUGUGAGAGCUGAUUGGUUUUUUUUUGUUUUGUUUUUUAUUUUUUUUCCUUAUUUCCUUUCUUUUAAUGUGUCAAAAACACACUUCAAGAUAUUCUUGUGAAUACAUAUAAGCUGUGUCUCAGCAUUCAGUACUAUGCAAAUAAUUUUUCAAUAUGACAAAAUGAAAAAUUUACACACUUUACGGUAGCGCUUAAUCUGAAAUAUAUUGCUGAUGUUAGGUCUAAAGAGCAAUGACUCAACCAGAAAAAAUAGUAAAGGCUGCCUUUUCCUUUUUAAAGUGCUUAUUAGCUUUAUAUCCAAAAACAAUGGUUUUUACAAAUACAUAAUACGGAAAGGUGCUCAAAAAGUCACCACUUACAGAAUUGAACAUGUCAUUUUCUAACUCUGCAUGUGUACACUUGUUUUAUCUGCGUUAAUGAAGAUUGCUUCAAAUGGCUCUCAAUCAUAUGCUUCAAAUCAAGACAGUGCUAAGUUCCAGCAGCAUGAACAGUGACAGCAGAACAAACCCCAGCACAUUUUCAGUGGAUCACAGCAGAUCAGAGAAAGUGAGCUGAUUGUUAAAAAGAAUCUGCCACUUCCCCAACUCUUGCUUCCUCUUUCAUUAUGUGAUCUCACAUGCCAGCUCCCCUUCACCUCCCACCAUGAGGGGAAGCAGCCUGAAUCCUUCACCAGAAGCAGAUGUUGACACCAUGCUUCUUGUAUAGCCUAUAGAACCAGGAACAAAGGAAAUUUAUUUUCUUUAUAAAUUACCCAGCCUCAGGAAUUCCUUGAUAGCAACACAAAUGGACUAAGACACAUACUAUUAAAGGAAAUCAUCAAGUAACAAGGUACGAUAGUAAGAGAGCAAGAAAGGAACUACAAAAUAGAGAGUAAACAAUGAACAAAGUGGUAAUAGUAUCUAUCAGUAAGUACCUUGAAUGUAAAUGGAUUAAAUUCUCCAAUCAGAAACCAUAGAGUGGAUAAAUGGAUAAACUAAACAAAACAACAAAAAACCCAAACUCUGAACUAUAUAUCGCCUUCAAGAAACUUACUUCAGCUAUAAGGAAAAGCAUAUACUGAAUAUGAAGGAAUGGAAAAAAACCUCAUGCAAAUGGAAAGCAAAAGGGAGCAGAGAUAGAUAUACUUCAGACAGAAUAAACGUUGUCACAAAUUAUAACAAGAGACAAAAAUCAUUAUAUAAUACUAAAGGGGUCAAUUAAUUACAAGGAUAUUAUAAAUAUACAUUCAGCAUUGGAGCAACUAAAUAAAGCAAAUAUUAGCAGGUUGGAAGGCAGAAAUAAACAGCAAUGCAAUAGAAUAUUUUGCACACAGAAUAUUCUCCAAGAUUAUAUGUUACAUCACAUAAUAAACCUUAGCAAAUUUAAGAAGACUGAAAUCAUAUCUGGUGUCUUUUCCAGGCACAGUGGCAUAAAACUAGAAAUCAGUAACUGAAAGAAAAUAGAAAUUGUCACAAAUAAGUGGAAAUUAAGCAAGACACUCCUGAAAAAAUCAGUGAAUCAAAGAAUAAGUCAAAAGUGAUAUCAAAAAUACCUUUAGACAAACAAAAUUGGAAACACAACAUUCUAAUCUAUGGAAUUCAUCAAAAGUAGGUCUAGGAGAAAUAUUCAUAGCAAUAAAUAGUUACACUAAGAAAAAAGAAAAAAAGUCAAGGAACAACCUAACUUUAUACCACAAGGAACAAAAAUAAGUACAAAGCCAGGAGAAGGAAGGUGAUAACAAAAUUCAGAGCACAAAUAAGAUAGAGACUAGAAAAAAAAUAAAUGGAAUUAAGAAAUGGCAUUUAAAAAAAAAAACAAUUGACUAAACUUUAGCAAGAAAAACAAGACACAAAUAAAAUCGGAUAUGAGAAAGGAGAUAUUACAACUGAUACCAUCACAAUACAAAGGAUCAUAAGACUACUAUGAACAAUUUUACACCAGCAAAUUGGAUAACCUAGAAGACACGGAUAAAUUGCUAGAAAUAUUCAUCCUACCAAGACUGAAUCAUGAAUGAAUGGAAAAUCUUAACAGACCAAUAAUAAUAAGUAGGACUGAAUCAAUAAUCACAAACCUCUCAACAAAGAAAAGCCCAAGAUUAAUGGCUUCACUGCUGAGUUCUAUCAAACUUUUAAGGAAGAAUUAACAUCAAUUUCUCUCAAGCCCUUAUGAAAAUUCAAGAGGGACACUUCCAAACUUAUUUUACAAGGCCAGCAUUACUCUGAUGCCAAAGCCAAACAAGGAAUACUACCUGAAAAGUAUAAGCCAAUAUCCCUGAUGAACAUGUAUACCAAAGUCCUCAAUAAAAUACUAGAGAACAGAACUCAACAGCACAUUAAAAGUUUCUUAUACUAUGAUCAAGUGAAACUUAUUUUUGGAAUGCAAGAAUUGUUCAACAUAUGCUAAUCAAUAAAAUGAUACACCAUAUUUACCAAACGAUUUAUAAAAAUCAUAUGGUCAACUUAAUAGAUGAAGAAUUGUGACAAAUUAAACAUCCUUUCAUGAUAAAAACACUAAAUUAGACUUAAAAUAAAUGGACCUCAAGACAAUGAAGGUCAUGUAUGACAUACCCACAGCUAAUACCAUCAUCAAUAGUAAAAGACUAAAAGCUUUUCCUCCUGAACGAGGAACAAAACCAGAAUGCUCACUUUUGCCACUUCUAUUCAAAAUAGUUUUGUAAGUCCUAGAAAAUUAACCAAGAAAAAGAAAAGCCAUCCAAAUUAGAAAGGAAGAAAUAUUGUCUCUGUUUAGAUGACAUGAUCUUAAAGGUAGGAAACCCUAAAGACUCAACCAAAAACUGUUAAUACUAAUUCAGUAAAGUUAUAGGCCAUAAAAUCAACAUAAAAAUCAGUUGUAUUUCUAUACAACAAUAACAAACUUACUGAAAGUAAAAUUGAGAAAGCAAUCCCAUUUACAGCAGCAUGAAAAACCACAAAAUCUGUAGAAAUAAACAUAAUCAAGGGGGUGAAAUAUCUUUACACCAAAAACUAUAAAGUGAUGAUGAAAGGAAUUGAAGAAUACAGAAAUAAAUGGAACAACAGCCCAUGCACAGGAAUUGGAAGAAUUAAUGUUGCUAAAAUGUCCAUGCUUCUCAAGGGACCUACAGAUUCAAUGCAAUCCCUAUGAAAAUCCCAUUGGCAUUUUUCACAGGGAAAAAAAAAUCUGCAAAUUUGUAUAGAACCACAAACGACCCUGACUAGCCAAGUCAGUAAUGAGAAAGUAGAAGGAAGCUGGUUAUCUUUUACUGAUUGAUUUCAAACCAUAUUACCAACCUAUAGUAACUUUAAAAGUAUGUACUGGUAUAAAACCAGACACAAAGAGCAUUGAGACAGGACAGAGAGCCCAGAAAUAAACCCACAAGUAUACAGUCAGCUAGUCUUUGACAGAAAGCUAAUGCAAAAUGUAGGAUGAUCUCUUAAAUAAAUGGUGUUGGGAAAACUAGAUUUCCACAUACCAAAAAUAUAAAUGGACUCCUAUAUUACAGCACUUCCAAAGAUUUACUCCAAACUGAUAAAAGACUUAAAAGUAAGACUGAAAAAAUGUGAAAUUCCAAGGAGAAAACAUAGGGGAAAAAUUCUUUGGCAUUAGUCUUGUCAAUUAUUUUAUUUUAUAACUUAUUAUGACACCAAAGACAAGAACAACAAAUGUAAAAAUAAGUGGAACUUUAUCAAACUAAUAAGCUUCUGCAUAGCAAAGGAAACAACAAAAUGAAAAGGCAAUCUAUGGAAUGGGAGAGAAUAUUUGCAAACUAUAUAUCCAAUAAUGGGUUAAUUUCCAAAAUAUGUAAGAUACUCAUACAAUUCCAUAGCAAAUACAGACAAAUCAUCUGAUUAGAAACUGAGCAAAGGACCUAACAGACAUCGCCCAAAAAAAGACAUACAAAUGAUCAAUGAGUACAUGAAAAGGUGCUCAGCAUUACUACUCAAACACAAAUCAAAACCAUAAUGAGAUAACGUCUCACAUCUGUGUGGAUGACUUUUAUCAAAAAGACAGAUAAAUGUUAGCAAGGAUGUAGAGAAAAGGGAACCUUUGUGUUACUGUUGGGUAUGUAAAUUGGUAUAGCCAUUCUGAAAAGCAGCAUGAAGUUUUCUUAAAAAAAUAGGGGGGGAAAAAAAACUACGAUUAAAUCCAACAAUCUCACUUCUCUGUAUUCUUCAUAUAAAGCCAAAGGAAAUGAAGUUAAUUUCCCUAAUGGACAUCUGCAGUCCCAUGUUAAUUGCAGCAUUAUUCACAGCAGCCAGGAUAUUGAAACAAUCUUAGUCUCCAUCAGUGGACAAAUGGAUUAAAAAAAUUUUAUACACAUAUGCCCCAAUGCAAUAUUACUUUUAUAAAAAGCAAAUAUGUAAUUUUUGACAACAUAAAUAAACCCGAAGGACAUUAUUCUUAGAGACAGAAGCCAGAGAAGGACAAUACAUAGUAUGACUUGUUUGUGGAAUCAAAAACCAACAAAAAAAAAAACUCCAACUCUUUAAAACAGCAUGAAAUAGAAGGAUGAUUGCUAAGUACAAAGGGUGAUGGAAAUGGAGAGAGAUGUAGGAGAAAGGGUACAAACUUUCAAUUAUAAGAAGAAUAGUUCUGAGGAUCUAGCAUAUAGCAUGGGUGACUACAGAUAAUAUUAUACUUGAAAUUUGCUAGAUCUUAAGUAUUCUCACCAAAAAAAACCAAAGAUAACUAUAUGAGGAGAGAGAUGUGUUAAUUAACUUGAUUGUUGCAAUUAUUUCACAAUGUAUAUGCAUAUGUUACUACAUUGUACACUUUAAAUAGGUACAAUCUUAUUUGUCAAUUAUACCUCAAUAAAGCUGGGGAAGGAGGGAAAGCAUUUUUUUCUUUUCUUUGCUUGGACACCUGCAAGAAGCAUUCCUAUCCUUCGUUCCCUAAGUAUUGUGAGGUGGUUGGAUUUUGAGUAGGAGAUGAAGAAACUAGGCUUUCGUCAGAGCAGGAGCCACAGCUAAGUUUGAGCAUCCCUCCAUUGAAGGGAUUAAGUUUGAACAUCCCACCAUUGAAGUUUUGUUUCUUACAAAACCUGUAGAUGGACUUCAGGGCCAUUAGCCUAUUGCAAAUGUCCAAUUGUUACCUUCGUUUUCUGAAGCAUAAAAGAAAAGAGAAGCAGAUUGCUUUAUCAUUUGCCCAGUUUUCCCAUGGAGGAGAAGAGAGGCAAGUAAGUUAACCUCUUGUCACAUCACCAGAAAUCCAUGGAACUCUUCACAAAAAUAGCUGCUCACUCCAGAGUCUGGAUGUCAGUCAGCAGAGAGUAACAGGUCUCAAAAACCCAUUCUGUAAAGGGUAUUGGUGCCAAAGAGAUGGAAGGCUCAAUGACCUGGGCAUAGUUGCAUGAAUAGGUAGGUGUUCCAAGUAAGAACAGAGCCAUCAGGGCUGGUAUAGUCAGCACAGACCAGAAAAAAGGACUCAAAUAGGAAGAUGGGGUCAGAGGCAAAAAUUCUGAAGGCAGAGCAAAGUAGGUGGUCAUAAGUUCCAUAUAUAAAGGAAAUAACUCCCAGAAGUCAAAAGGGCCGGGCCAAGCCAACAGGUGAGUCCAGGAAUAAGGAAUUCUUUUAAUCUGAGUUAGUCACUUGCUUCAUUCCAGAAGCAUUUGUUUAUCUAUUAAUAGUAAGGCAUAGAAGUACCAGUUUAGGUCUUAUGGCUUUUUAUAUGGAGGUACUAAAUAAUGAAAUGGCAGAGUAGAACCCUAAAACUUUACCAGUUUGGGGUUAUAUUUGUAGCCAACCUGGGGAAGCUUUUAAAGUUAUGUCUCAGAAUAGCAGCCUAAAUUUUGAUACAUGAUAGGUCAUUUUUAGAAUAUUUUUUAUUUUUACUUGCUUGCACCUCAAAUUUAUUUCAGUAGGUUACACUAAGGGAGGCUUCUCCUCGAACAUUUUUAAAGACCAAUCCAUAAUUUGUUUGUACUUCCUUUAAAAACCUGGAAACCUCCCCUUUGGGCUUGGGCAAUUGUCUGUUAUUCUGAAACUCCUCCUAUCCCACAUGUUCAAGAAAUGUGAGCCCUGAAUGGUAGUUGACUUGAAGUUUAAACAGAUCAUAACUCAAGUGUGAAAGCAACUCUCCUGUUUGCUCACCAGGCUGUUAAGCCUGCCAUUUCCAAAGGCAGCCUGCAAGGCAGGCUGGUUAAGCCCAAGAAACAAAAAAUGUCCAGUUACCCUACUUGUCUGAAGCUUUUUGCCUGGACCUUGCCAUCAGUUAGCAUUUAAGUCAGAGAAAUAAAGUAGAUGGCAUGACCCGAUGAAGAUGGAAGAUCACAACAAAAUUGUUAAUAAGCAAGAUCUCAAAGGGAUAACUCAGGAAUAAAAAUGUAAUAUGAAAGAAAUGUUCUUCCUCAUUUGUAUAUAAAUAAUUUUUCAAAAAAAAAAUUGGAGAAAAUGGUCAUUAAAGUCAUAAAAUAAAUCCAGAUGAGCAAAUCCUAUUUCUUUGACUCAUUACUUUAUUCUUUUCUAAGUUUUAUAUACAAGUUCAGCAAUUAGUACCUGUCUAGCACUGAGGGUUCUGGCUUCUCAAAAAUUAUUAUUAUUUUGACAGUCUCACUGUUGCUGCCACUGGAGUGCAGUGGGCUGACAUAGCUCACUGCAACCUCCACCUCUGAGACUCAAGAGAUCCUCCCACCUCAGCCUCCCUAGUACCUGGGACUACAGAUGCACGCCACAAACCCAGCUAAUUUUUGCACUUUUUGCAGAGACGAGAUUUCACCAUGUUGCCCAGGCUGCUCUCAAACUCCUGAACUCAAGCUAUCCACCUUCCUUGGCCUACCAAAGUGCAUGGAUUACAGGAAUGAGCCACCAUGCCUGGCCUUGACAAUUAUUAUCAGUUAUCCUUCAUCACAUGAUUCUGAGUGGGAAAUUGUAACAGUAUAGUGGAAUGAAAAAUGGCCUCCCUCUAUCCUUCCACGUUCUUUGGGCUACAAAUUAAAUUGACAUAAGAAAGAUUAACAGGAGUAAAACUGUAUUCAAUUAUGUAUGUAUGCACAGGGGUCCGACAGAACAUGAGCCUUAAAAGUCACAUGAUUGAAGCUUCUACAGCAUCCUGAGCAACAGAAGGGAAUAGGAGCUUUGGACUUCUGAGGGAUGGUUGGUGGUGACAUAAGUUAUAGGAGAGAGAGGGAAGGAAAUGUUUGGUGAAUAAAGGUUAUAUCUUGUUUGCAAUUAACUUUUACUAUCUGAGGGAUUUUUUAUCUUCAGCAGUCCUCUUUUUAAUACAGGUACUUUUAAGAAUAUACUCUUCCUUUAUGGAUAUAAAUUUAUUUUACAAUAGGACAGCUUUUCAGGGAUACUCCUUUACCUGCCAUUUACCAGAAUAAGCAGCUCAAAACUGCCAAAUAAAUAUAUUUCGGGGUGGUAUAUUCUGGUCCCCUAUAGUCAUAUUUUGGGGGUAUGUUCAUACUUUGGUGUCUCCUGAGCCUCAACAGUACUCCAUCUGAAAUUUCCCCAAGAAGUUUUAAAAUCCAGAAACUGAGUUGGUAAACUAUCUAAUAACCUAUUGAAGAGGCAUUUCUAUGGCAACAAAAGGAAAGUUAAUAAUUGGAGCAGACUAUAAAUCAUGUUUCUGAGUCUGUAGGGCAGCCAGUCAAGACUUCUAAACUGUAGGUUAAAAGUAUCUUUUGGUGUCUAAAUGUCUCUGGUGAUGUCUGAGUGGCCCACAGGGCAACAGGCACAAAGGUUUUCCAUAUAAAAGUUGUGAUCUCUGUAAUGUUCAUCUCUGUAAUGUUCAUAUCAAGUCAUCCAGCUUCAGCAUGCAGGGCUUCAGGAAAAGGGCGAUUUUUGUUCUUAGUCAUACUAAGUGAGAAAGGCGGGAGAAAAAUGUAAAUAUUUGAAGAAUUCUAGGCAAAUACUGGAGAAAUUCAGGAUCCAGUCCACUUUAAAAGGUUGAAUAACAAAACCUCAAAGAACAGGAUUAAAAUCUAUUAAUAGCUACAAUAUAGGUAGGCUUAUACUGAAGCAAAAUUUCCCUCUAUAGUCACCCCCAAUUUUACCAAAGAUAAUCACAGUAAGACUAGUUUGUUUGUAAGAUAACUUUAAUCUCAUGAAACUUGGCCUGAUUAUUUACAUAAAAGAAGCAAGAAUAGUGAUUGUUUAAUGUAGGCUUUUUAA